rnacentral:rRNA from 1 species
AGCAGCCGCGGUAAUUCCAGCUCCAAUAGCGUAUAUUAAAGUUGUUGCAGUUAAAAAGCUCGUAGUUGAAUUUCGGGGUCAGUAGAUUGGUCAUGCCACUGGUAUGUACUGGUCUCACUGAUUCCUCCUUCCUGAUGAGCCGUAAUGCCAUUAAUUUGGUGUUGCGAGGAAUCUGGACUGCUACUUUGAAAAAUUAGAGUGUUUAAAGCAGGCUAACGCUUGAAUACAUUAGCAUGGAAUAAUGAAAUAGGACGUUCGAUCUUAUUUUGUUGGUUUCUAAGAUUGACGUAAUGAUUAAUAGGGAUAGUUGGGGGCAUUAGUAUCCAAUUGUCAGAGGUGAAAUUCUUGGAUUUUAUUGAAGACUAACUACUGCGAAAGCAUUUGCCAAGGAUGUUUUCAUUAAUCAAGAACGAAAGUUAGGGGAUCGAAGACGAUCAGAUACCGUCGUAG